UACGUAGGGUGCGAGCGUUGCCCGGAUUUAUUGGGCGUAAAGGGCGCGUAGGCGGCUCUGCACGUCCGUUGUGAAAUCGCCCGGCUCAACUGGGCGGGGUCAGCGGAUACGGCGGAGCUUGAGCAAGCUAGGGGGCAAUGGAAUUCCCGGUGUAGUGGUGGAAUGCGCAGAUAUCAGGAGGAACACCGGUGGCGAAGGCGGGUCUCUGGGCAGUAACUGACGCUGAGGAGCGAAAGCGUGGGGAGCGAACAGG
rnacentral:rRNA from 1 species